UAAUCACCAUUACCAUUCUAAAUACCUCCCACUCUCCCAAGACCCACCGCCUCCACAUAUUCUGUAAACCCUAAUUGCCAUCUCCAUCGACAUGAAUCAAGACUCCAAUUCGUUGAUGCCCAGUCUUCGCAGCCUCGCCAUCGUCCCCCUUGAUUGUGGUUGUCGUUGCGCUCUGACCACAUAUCUCUGAUUCAGGAUUCCUAGUGUCGAAAAUUACGGAGGAACAAUGGGGAUUAUGGAUAGUGGAGGAGACAUAUAAUUUAUCAAGAUCCAAAAUUGGAAUUCAAAGAUGAAAGUCCUGCCCGAGCCUCUCGAAUCCCAGCUUCACAUGAAGAAAUGGAAUAUAUUGGCACAAUCUAAGGUUGAAUGACAUGGUUAUGUCUAAUCAAUCACGCCAUGGACAUGAUGAAGGUUUUUUAUGCUGACCACACUUGGUUGUAUAGGAGUAAUUUAGAUAGAUGUAUUGUAGUAUAGUAGUAUGUAAUGGAAUAGGGUCUGUGAAUUGUAAUAGGGAGCAACUCUUGUUAUACAAAUAAGCUUUUAUUACAUAAUGAUAUUGUGUUUCCAUUUCUUAUC